rnacentral:sRNA from 1 species
GACCCUUGAGAAAUUAGCAACUUAAGGUGGGGACAGACACAUAGAUGGCUAAUUGUAAUUCGGUAUGGUGAGUACUCUUAACAGAGAAUUGUUUUUAAAAAUCCUACUGGCUCAAAAAUCAGAAAAAUAUCAUUUCUGCCCAAAGAGAUGUCAGGGAAGAAUAUGGAGAGGAGGAAGACCUGGAAGGCUGAGUUAGGAAGGAAAGAAUUAUAACUAGAUUUGAAUGUGGUCGAAGACAGGACGUUUAUUUCCAGGCCCCUUAUGUGAGGUAUGGUUUGAGCAGGAGCUUGAGAUUGCAGUGGCAGGGUCCCCUCAGGCUAUUGGGAGCAUUUAUUUCUCCUUGAAACAUGAAGCCUCCUAGGAGGCCUGCGUGUGCUGUUUGGUGGAUACGUGACCAUGGAGCUUGGGAGGCCGCAGGUUUCUCUGCACCCAGCCUCACUGAGCUGUUUUCUCUGUCUCUGUUUCCCCAGCUCGGAGUCCAGUGUUUUCCCACUUAUCAUCAUCUCUCCAGGGGCUCUGGACCAUCCGGGCAUACAAAGCAGAAGAGAGGUGUCAGGAACUGUUUGAUGCACACCAGGAUUUACAUUCAGAGGCUUGGUUCUUGUUUUUGACAACGUCCCGCUGGUUCGCCGUCCGUCUGGAUGCCAUCUGUGCCAUGUUUGUCAUCAUCGUUGCCUUUGGGUCCCUGAUUCUGGCAAA